rnacentral:piRNA from 1 species
UGACUUUCCAGAGGGUCCGUGGCUGUGGUC